rnacentral:rRNA from 1 species
GACGUAGGGUGUGAGCGUUGUCCGGAUUUAUUGGGCGUAAAGAGCUCGUAGGCGGCUCGUCGCGUCGACCGUGAAAACCCGCAGCUUAACUGCGGGCUUGCGGUUGAUACGGGCGGGCUAGAGUUCGGUAGGGGAGACUGGAAUUCCUGGUGUAGCGGUGAAAUGCGCAGAUAUCAGGAGGAACACCGGUGGCGAAGGCGGGUCUCUGGGCCGAUACUGACGCUGAGGAGCGAAAGCGUGGGGAGCGAACAGG